GAGACGCUGUCGCAGCGGCUGCAGGAGCCGGGCACGGAGCUGAGCGAGGAGAGGGUCGUGGCCGUCAUGGGGGGCGAGGUGAGCCCCACGGCGCCCCAUGGCUGCCCCAUAGCGCCCCAUAGCGCCCCACAUUGCNNNNNNNNNNGGGGGGCUAUAGAUGGGGGUGGCAGGGGUGGGGGCUGCCCCAUAGAUCGGGAGCACCCAGGGGUGGGGGGCCCUAUAGAUGUGGGGGGCCAGGGGUGGGGGGUGCCCCAUAGCAGUGGGUCUGCCCCACAAGUGGCCCCAUAGCAGUGUCCCCAUCCCCUAUCCAUCUGUGUCCCUGCCCCCCAUGCCUGGGUCUCUCCCUAUGGGUCUCUUGCUAUGGGUCUGCCCCCUAUCUAUGGGUCUGCCCCCCAUGUGUGGGUCUCUCCCUAUGGGUUUCUCCCUAUGGGUCUCCCCCUAUGGGUCUGCCCCCCACCUAUGGAUCUGCCCUCCAUGCCUGGGUCUCUCCCUAUGGGUCUCCCUUGUACCUGUGGGUCUCCUGCUAUGGGUCUGCCCCCCAUGUGUGGGUCUGCCCCCCAUGUGUGGGUCUGCCCCCCACCUAUGGGUCCGCCCGCAGCUGGCGGUGUCCCGCGGGGUGCGGGUGCUGCUGGACGCGGAGCAGAGCGAGCUGCGGGCGGCGCUGACGCUGCUGGGGCUGGCGCUGAUGGCGCGGCACAACCGGGGCACGGCCUGGGUCUGGCACACGCAGCAGGCCUACCUCAGGGUGUGUGGGGCAGGGACAUGUGGGGAGAUGUGGGGCAGGGACAUGUGGGGCUGGGAGAUGUGGGGCUGGGUGUGGGGCUGGGACAGGCAGCAAGCGUACCUCAGGGUUUGUGGGGCAGGGACAUGUGGGGAGAUGUGGGGCCGGGACAUGUGGGGCUGGGAGAUGUGGGGCUGGGUGUGGGGCUGGGACAUGGGGCAGGCCUACCUCAGGGUCUGUGGGGUCUGUGGGGAGAUGUGGGGCUGGGUGUUUAGCUGUGGGGCAGGCCUUUGGGUAUGGGUCAGGGUGUCAGUUAUGGGUCGGGACGCCCCGCUGUGGGGCAGGGCACCCCGCUAUGGGGCAGCCCGUCACCGUGGGUCUGUGGGGCAGGACGCGGUGCAGGACCUGCAGCGGGUGCUGAGCCGCGGGCGCCGCCUGGGGGUCGCAGUGGGGCUGAAGCUGGUGCGGGGGGCGUACCUGCAGCACGAGAGGGGCAGGGGGACCGCCAUGGACACCCCCCAGCACACCGACCGCAGGUGGGACCCCAAAAACACCCCAAAAAUCCUAAAAGGGAC
rnacentral:lncRNA from 1 species